AAAUAACUAAAAUCUUUAAAAGCACACAUAAAUCAAAGGCUUCGUUUGGGAUUGCGGGGAGAUUGCGUUACGUGCGGUGAGAAAGUACGUUGGAAAAAUAUCCUGUUGGUUUUCGUACGUAAUAUUGCAUUCCGCAUAUCGUGAUAAGUCGGUUACGAUAUAUUUUUUGCAGUCCCACCGGAGUACGCAGAAGUAUAUCCCAAUAUGCUUUUUCUUCAACUCUAUUUUAUCUAAUAACAUUAGAUAGAGCCUAAUACCAAACUAAGUCUAAGUAUUCAAAAUUUAAUACAUUUUCUAGAAUAUGUGUGCAAAAAUUUAAAGAAUCAGAAAGAAUUAUACUACACAUGCAACCAAAUAAAAAUGUAUGAUAUACAUUCUAUCAAUCUUAAGAUGAAAAUUUUUAACUAGUCAAAAACAUCUCAUC
rnacentral:lncRNA from 1 species